GGACUGUAUUGGUUUAACAAUGAUGUCUAUUUAUUUAUUUAUAUUUUAUUUUUUUUAAUUUUUCAAGGAUAUUUAUUAUAAACGAAAAACAUCAGGAAAAAACGUAGGAAAACGAGAAAAUUUACGAAAUGUAUGUGUAUAUUAUUUUCAAAUCGUAAAUAUUACAGCCUUGCAAAGCAUGUAUAACCGAACUCUGCUCAAAAUCGUUAGGUACGCAUUAAAUGUCCCGUCGACCUUCCCAAUUUCUCACUAAUAACAGUGGCUCACUCAUCGUGCGAAGUUUGUUCGUAUUAUUAUUAUUAUUUUUUUUCUAUUUUUGUUAAUUUACAUAUGCGCGCCAGUUUCAGUACACAAACAAUUAAAAUUUCACCAAGACAUUUUGACCUUUACUAUACUCGUACAUAUAUUGUUUUGUUGUACACUUGUGCCUACAUAUUACUUUCGGAAACUGUUUCAAAUAACAAUGUGUUAUAGUCUCGUUCGAUAGUUUUUUCCCCGUUUUCAAACAUUCGAAUCGUCGUAUAAAUAUCGAACAUAAUAAUUAUAUUAUAAACUCGUCGAGUAACAAAAUUAAAUUAUUCAUCCCGUCACUUGAGAACUUGCUUUUGGUUUUUUUAGUCCGUUAAUAAUUUUUCGACCAGAAACCCAAUCGAUGAACGAAACAGAUUUAUUCAGAUAGUGUUUUUUAUAUAUAUAUCGUUCGUGCGCACUCUGAAAGUUAUUUUUAGAAAUAAUACCUCGUAGUUCUUUUUCGUUAUAACGAUUAUUGACGGGUUCUCGGACAAAAUCGUAUAGACUUGAAAUGUUGAACGUAAGCAACCAACAGAUGCAGGGUAUCCGAAAAUAUCUCGAACCCAUUCAUUUUUUAAAAUAUAUUUUUAUACGCGCCGGAUUAGAAUUUGAAUUUUGCAUUUUUUUUUUUUUCGCGGUUUUCCUCGGUUACUCUACAAGGGGAAAAAACUACAUAACUAAAUAAUGAGCCAAAUAAUUUGGGCGACACGCAGUUAAACGAGCUCCGCUGAGAAUCGUUUUUUUUUUUUGCAUUAUCAGCAUGCCUUUUUAAACUGAAUAUGACGUGUAUAAUAUGAUGUCCAGUUUCGAUUUUUUUUUUUCUGUUUGUGUAUGAAAAAGAACAAUAAACCAAACGUUUAUGUACGCACCUUUUUAAUGAUAUUCGAGGCGGACACGGCUAGUGUAUAUAAUAGAAUAUUAUUUUUAUACCGCGCGAUAAAACAAAACUGUGGAACCAGAAUAAUAAAAGUAUUAAAUGUUACGAUAGCAGAAACGAUUUGUCGUGUUAUUGAACGGGUACCUCUUAACCGUCGGAGUAUUUAUCCAAAACGGAUAACUGUUUUUUUUUAUUUAUUUUUUUUUUAUUUUAUUUUUAAUUGGAUACUGCGUUAUUAUUAUUUAUUUUCCGUGCCAACGACCAAA